AUUAUGCUCAGUAUGAGAGGAAUUACAGGUGCAGCUAUUUGGUGUAUGUGCUUGGAUAAGGAGUCAAUGGGGAAAAGUUACCAUGUGUGGGAUUAUGACCAAAUGCCUCUAAGUCAGAAUCCC